AAAUUGAAGAGUUUGAUCAUGGCUCAGAUUGAACGCUGGCGGCAGGCCUAACACAUGCAAGUCGAACGGUAACAGGAAGCAGCUUGCUGCUUCGCUGACGAGUGGCGGACGGGUGAGUAAUGUCUGGGAAACUGCCUGAUGGAGGGGGAUAACUACUGGAAACGGUAGCUAAUACCGCAUAAUGUCGCAAGACCAAAGAGGGGGACCUUCGGGCCUCUUGCCAUCGGAUGUGCCCAGAUGGGAUUAGCUUGUUGGUGGGGUAACGGCUCACCAAGGCGACGAUCCCUAGCUGGUCUGAGAGGAUGACCAGCCACACUGGAACUGAGACACGGUCCAGACUCCUACGGGAGGCAGCAGUGGGGAAUAUUGCACAAUGGGCGCAAGCCUGAUGCAGCCAUGCCGCGUGUAUGAAGAAGGCCUUCGGGUUGUAAAGUACUUUCAGCGGGGAGGAAGGGAGUAAAGUUAAUACC
rnacentral:rRNA from 1 species